rnacentral:rRNA from 1 species
UAGUCCACGCCGUAAACGAUGAGUGUUAGAUGUCCGAGGUAAACUUGGGUGUCCUAAGCUAACGCGAUAAACACUCCGCCUGGGGAGUACGUACGCAAGUAUGAAACUCAAAGGAAUUGACGGGGACCCGCACAAGCAGCGGAGCAUGUGGUUUAAUUCGAUGCAACGCGAAGAACCUUACCAGGGCUUGACAUAAAAGUGACGAGGGAUAGAGAUAUACCUUUUCUCUUCGGAGACAGUUUUAC